UACGGGGGGGGGCAAGCGUUUGUUCGGAAUUACUGGGCGUAAAGGGCGCGUAGGCGGUUGGAUAAGUCAGCUGUGAAAACCACGGGCUUAACUCGUGGCCUGCAGUUGAGACUGUCUGGCUUGAGUGUGGGAGAGGAGAGUGGAAUUCCUGGUGUAGCGGUGAAAUGCGUAGAUAUCAGGAGGAAUACCAGUGGCGAAGGCGGCAUCCUGGCCAUAUCCUGACGCUCAGGGGCGAAAGCGUGGGGAGCAAACCGG
rnacentral:rRNA from 1 species